rnacentral:rRNA from 1 species
UUAGGUAGUUGGUUAGGUAAUGGCUUACCAAGCCGUUGAUCGGUACGGGUUGUGAGAGCAAGAGCCCGGAGAUGGAACCUGAGACAAGGUUCCAGGCCCUACGGGGUGCAGCAGGCGCGAAACCUCCGCAAUGUGAGAAAUCGCGACGGGGGGAUCCCAAGUGCCAUUCUUAACGGGAUGGCUUUUCAUUAGUGUAAAGAGCUUUUGGAAUAAGAGCUGGGCAAGACCGGUGCCAGCCGCCGCGGUAACACCGGCAGCUCUAGUGGUAACAAUUUUUAUUGGGCCUAAAGCGUCCGUAGCCGGUUUAAUAAGUCUCUGGUGAAAUCCUGUAGCUUAACUGUGGGAAUUGCUGGAGAUACUAUUAGACUUGAGACCGGGAGAGGUUAGAGGUACUCCCAGGGUAGAGGUGAAAUUCUGUAAUCCUGGGAGGACCGCCUGUUGCGAAGGCGUCUAACUGGAACGGUUCUGACGGUGAGGGACGAAAGUUAGGGGCGCGAACCGGAUUAGAUACCCGGGUAGUCCUAACUGUAAACGAUGCGGACUUGGUGUUGGGGUGGCUUUGAGCUGCUCCAGUGCCGAAGGGAAGCUGUUAAGUCCGCCGCCUGGGAAGUACGGUCGCAAGACUGAAACUUAA